rnacentral:lncRNA from 1 species
CCACCUUAAGAAGGGAUCUUUUUGUGCACGCCAAUAGAGGUGAUCUUAGCCAUGAGGAACUUUAGAGAGGGUGUGAGACAAAUCAGAGAGAGGGUGGGCUUCCCAGCAUGAGAAAUCGAGGAAGACAUCUUCUUCUUAGGCAUGAGAUCUAGGGUGGGUCUAGGGUUUCCUAUGCUCUAGUUUUGUAAGAGAAAAACACAAGAAGAGUCUUGUUGUUAUUAUUCCACACC